rnacentral:lncRNA from 1 species
GGGAAUAUUGUCAAACACCUGGCGUGUGUCAGAGGCCAGUCAAAAGAAAGAAAACUAGAACUAAACUAAAAAGCUAAACUAAAAAGUGUCUUUUGCUUCUGUACGUUGUCCCUUUUAAAGAACCAAAAGAAAGAUGACUAAAAGCUAUCUAGGUGGUCCCCAUACAUGUGGACAAAGCCUCCAAAUUACUUCUUGUUUCAAGUCUCUCUACGUUCCUUUCUUUGGAGAGCCCAAAAUGACUAUAGCUUUGUGGUCCCCACCAAUUCAAGGGCAUAAGGAUUGAAACCCUUAGAAGUCUCCAUUUUCCCAUAAAAUCCCUCCUUUUUGGUAGUUUUCUGUUUUAUUCCUGAAAUUAAGUCCAGAUACCAAAUAUAAGUAGAUAUCAACAAUUAACACAAUAUUUGGUAGGGAUAAAGGGGGAAAUUAAUAAUAAAAUUAUUAACAAAUGAUACCCUAUCACCAGCAAAAAUGUAAAAGUCAACAAUCACAUGUUUACAAGCAAAAUGGACAUUCUUAGCCAGCAAAAGAAGAAAUAACUUUGUGGGACAAUCGCAUGUUUAGACAAAUUGAAUAUGGAAUGCAAAUGAAGACGAGACUCAUACUUCUCGGGCUUUCUUUUUUGUAUCCAACAAAUGAUUUGCUAGCUUCUUUAUUACCGUCAUUUUAAGCUAAAUCGAUCUGCUAGCUUAAUAACUGAUAUAAGAAAUAAACUGGUUAUCAUAAUUCAUAACUUAGCAAAAGAAGAAUAAAACAAAUCGCAGCAGAACAGAAAUAAGCCUUAAGAGAUCAUGAGCUGAUAACGGAAAUCGCAGCACUCAUUUACCAUGGACCGUUUACUGCCGGUAUAUCAUUUUAAUGCGGAGAAGCAUCUUCAAUACCUUGACAAGUAAAACUGAUCACAAGCCUCUUCGUAAAUAAGAAAAGGGCCAAUAGUCACAAAAAGAAUAAUACAUUAGGGAAAUGAAGGCUGAAGAGGUAGACCAAAAUGAUAAAACAUGAUCCCCUGUAGUUGUGGUAAGCAUUAAGCAGAAGAUGGGUUUUAGCUGGAAUUUUUGUUAUCAGCUCAUGAUCUCUGUAAACUAGGACCACAUUAACUAAUUAAAAUGAAAUAAAGAAGAACAGGGCAACAGAGUGCUACCUUUUUUUUCUAUCCUCGUCCCAACGUUGAAUUAGAAGCAAAAAAAAUAGUAGUAAAUUUAUAACAUUAAUGCCAAACAUUAUCAGAGGAACAACCAAAAAAAAACAAUCUUUGAUUUGCAGAAAUUUAAACGUGAAUAUACCAUCAUAAACCCUAAAUUUGUCAAGAAUUGAGAAUUGAGGGAGAGGAAGGAGAGUGAGGACGAGAGAGGAUGCGACGGCGAUGGUGGUGACGGCAAUGGAAGCGGCAACAAAGGUAAAAGCGGGAAGCAUAAUUCAAGAUAGAUAGGAAUCGAAAGAAAGGAGACCAAAAUAUAACUCAAUUUGUAAAUUUCACCCACUUGAUGUUGGGUAGAGGGAGGAAAGGCUUGGAGGGGUUAUGGCAGAGGUGCUGGGACAAGGAGGAGGCGGUGGCGGCGGCAGAGAAUGAUAGAGCAGAUGGUGAUUCGCUUAUGAAGAUAGAGAAAGAAGCCAGCUUUCUCUUUUUUUUAAUCC